AAAUUGAAGAGUUUGAUCAUGGCUCAGAUUGAACGCUGGCGGCAGGCCUAACACAUGCAAGUCGAACGGUAACACAGAGAGCUUGCUCUCGUGUGACGAGUGGCGGACGGGUGAGUAAUGUCUGGGAAACUGCUUGAUGGAGGGGGAUAACUACUGGAAACGGUGGCUAAUACCGCAGAACGUCGCAAGACCAAAGAGG
rnacentral:rRNA from 1 species